rnacentral:lncRNA from 1 species
CAAUCACAUUCAACUACCCGAAAUCAAGGAUAAAGACAUAAGUUAAAUAACUUAAACAAUAAUCCUUCUCACUAAAGGGAUACAUCAACUUAAAACAAUCUCAGGUAAUCUAACCUUAAAUUAUUACAUAAGUUUGCGGAAUACUUUACAUAACAAAUAAGUCUCAUAACAUAGAUUUUGUCAAAUAAAAUCAAUCAAGUCUUCAUCACUUGGUCAUCUUGCCUUUACCCUUACUCGUAGACGGCUCGUCAACUUUCUCAACUUUAGAUGCAAUGUUAUAUGCAAAAGUGAGUAAACAAUUGCUCACAAAUAUAAUGAUGACAAUAACAAUAUCAUAAGGGUAAGCAAUGAAUACUGAAUAAUAAAGAACUCGAUCUUCGAAUCAAGAUUAGAAAACAAGUUUGAGAUAUAUAUAUAUGAGGGUCUCAAGACCAUCAAUUAUGUCCCAGGUUACUAAGUAUUUCUACUUUAACCUUUACCAGUUGUUAGACUAUAUGGACCUUUCUUCUCGUACUUAGGGGGAUCAUCCCUUUGUUCCAUGUAUUGUGCAAAAACAUCUUAACGUUAACGCAUAAAUAAUCCCCUAUAUCAGGAUUGUUCAUCUCAGUUUGACUUAGGAAUCCGCACUAAAAAAAGUUUAGUUUGGUUUAGCUUUAACAAUGGUACUAAAAUUUUAGAACGCUCAUCAACUAUGGACUAGUCGAAUGAAUCAGGGUCCACUAGUCAUUCAAAGUUCGAUACAAUAACUAGGUAUUGAGUAACGAUAUACAAAUCAAAAAUGGAAUCACAAUAAUAUACAA